rnacentral:rRNA from 1 species
GACAGAGGGUGCAAACGUUGCUCGGAAUCACUGGGCGUAAAGGGCGUGUAGGCGGGAAUGUAAGUCGGGCGUGAAAUCCCUAGGCUCAACCUAGGAACUGCACUCGAAACUGCGUUUCUUGAGUAUCGGAGAGGAAAGCGGAAUACCUGGUGUAGAGGUGAAAUUCGUAGAUAUUCGGAAGAACACCAGUGGCGAAGGCGACUCGCUGGACAAGUAUUGACGCUGAGGUGCGAAAGCGUGGGGAGCAAACAGG